GGCAAAAUGGCUGAGUAAGCAUUAGACUGUAAAUCUAAAGACAG
rnacentral:tRNA from 1 species